GAAACUUAAAGGAAUUGGCGGGGGAGCACUACAACGGGUGGAGCCUGCGGUUUAAUUGGACUCAACGCCGGAAAACUCACCGGGGGCGACAGCAAGAUGUAGGUCAAGCUAAAGACUUUACCUGAAUCGCUGAGAGGAGGUGCAUGGCCGUCGUCAGUUCGUACUGUGAACCAUCCUGUUAAGUCAAGUCAAGC
rnacentral:rRNA from 1 species